AGCAGUCUUGUCCUUGAAAGCCAAACAUUUUGCAUGUUCUAGUCAAGUGUAUCCUUCGAAGCCUGACAAGGUCAUGGACACUGUCAGAAGCAGAGACCCAAAACAAGGAAUACAAGAUUAACAAUAGACAGUUUAAAAUGAUAAGAGAUUAAUUUCUUUAGCCUCAAUAACAUUGUCACUUGCAAUUAAUUUUAACUCUGAGCUCAGAAGAGUAUGGAACAGAUACUUUGAAAAUGAAAAUGAAAAACUGAAUCAAGUGGUGAAAUCAGCUGAGGUGUUUUGAUAAAAGAGUCUGGAUGAGGUCUCUGAAGUUACUGGUGACAGAGUUGUCUUGAUGGACGCUCCUUGCAUCUGGUAAAUGUUUGUUUUUUGUUUGCUUGUUUGUUUUCUAAGAAGGUGUUUCUAAGAACACCUUAAUGAUGUUUGCAGCAUGAUUUAUUGUAAAGCUGUCCUCUAUAUUCACUUUUUAUCUAAUGAGGCUGAUGGGAAUACAGAUUAAGUUCAAUUUAUUUGACAAUGGUUAGUACAUUUUGCAUAUUUAUAUUAGUACGUUUGCUCCAGAUUUACUAAUGUUUUUAGUAAUUAGACUGUGGUGG
rnacentral:lncRNA from 1 species